UAGUUCAUAGAAAAAUGUACAAGAAUAUUGAUGACCUUUGUGUUGAUCCUUAGGUGAAAAAGUGGAUUGAGAGACACCGGUUGAGUUGGAGAAGAAAGGACUGAAUUAUGUGUUUUCAGAAAGAAUGUUCUGGAUUCUUGGCAUCAAGAAACAGGAUGACCCACACACAGAUGCACUUUCCCGAGUAGCCAUAGAAUAUAAACUAUAGCAAAACAACUUCAAUGUGUCAGGGAAAAAGGCAGCAAGAUCUCAGCCUUUCGAAGUUGGAAUUACCAAUGUACUUUAUGGUCACAUAUAUCAUCGUAUGGAGCUGAUCCCAUGAGAGUAUCAUUUGAUAGAAGAACAAAGCAAGUCAGGACGAGCUUAACUAAUCUCCCCAUUUGUCACAGAGCCUUGCUUCUCUCCCUCUGAGGCCAUGUUUGAAUUGGAAUAUUGCUAAUUUCCCACAAGUUGAGGAUUCAUGCAACAAAAUUGUCUCUUUGUUAGCUGUACUUGUGGUUCUGAGGUGG
rnacentral:lncRNA from 1 species